GAUGAACGCCGGCGGCGUGCCUAAUACAUGCAAGUCGAGCGAAUGGAUUAAGAGCUUGCUCUUAUGAAGUUAGCGGCGGACGGGUGAGUAACACGUGAGUAACCUGCCCAUAAGACUGGGAUAGCUCCGGGGAACCGGGGCUAAUACCGGAUAACAUUUUGAACCGCAUGGUUCGAAAUUGAAAGGCGGCUUCGGCUGUCACUUAUGGAUGGACCCGCGUCGCAUUAGCUAGUUGGUGAGGUAACGGCUCACCAAGGCAACGAUGCGUAGCCGACCUGAGAGGGUGAGCGGCCACACUGGGACUGAGACACGGCCCAGACUCCUACGGGAGGCAGCAGUAGGGAAUCUUCUGCAAUGGACGAAAGUCUGACGGAGCAACGCCGCGUGAGUGAUGAAGGCUUUCGGGUCGUAAAACUCUGUUGUUAGGGAAGAACAAGUGCUAGUUGAAUAAGCUGGCACCUUGACGGUACCUAACCAGAAAGCCACGGCUAACUACGUGCCAGCAGCCGCCGUAA
rnacentral:rRNA from 1 species